rnacentral:lncRNA from 1 species
UUAGAGUUGUUCUCUUUCUCCUUCUCCUUCUCCUUUUUGGGUUGAGGCGAAACCAAAUCGACUUUUUUCUUUGUCUUCUCUUCGAGUUUCUCCCUCAGCUUCGCCGGAUCUAAAGCUCCGGUCACCGUUAGCUUCCCUGUUGCAGACUCCGAUUUCACAGUCUCAACACCUGAAAGACACCAUUUUUCGUAAAUGUAAAAAAUCAACCCAACAAAAAAGGAAUCUUUAUCGAAAAAAUCAAGUAACAGGUUCCGUGGAAUAAGGGAUUUCACAACGUUCUGAAUACGAAAAAUGCCAACUUUUGAUUUAUGUAUUGUCACACAUUAACAGAAAUCGAAAUGUUGAGAGGAAA